rnacentral:lncRNA from 1 species
UUAGAGGAAUAGAAAAGGACAGAAGAAACACAAGCCUCAUUACGAAAUCACUUCAGAAGGAAAAUCAGGAGUUGUGUAUAUGAUGAGAAAGAGCUUAUGAAAUAAGGAUGAUGCCCUAUGCUCUCUCAAAGAGAAUUUUGGAAGACCACAUAAAGAUUUAAACAGCCCAGCAUGCAGACUGAUCCUCCGCUAACCAAUCGAUGGAAGAAAGUUCAAUGUCAUUUUAAAGCUGAGUUUAUAAUGGAUGUUUCAAGGGCCCUGAAGCUUAAAGUCACCAGUGCCAAAGUAGCCUCAUCUGGAGGCCUGCCUGCAGGUAAUAAUGUGCCAAUCACCCACCUCGAAUCUUUGGCUUUGAGUUUUCUCUCCUCGGAGCCUGUUGUCCCAUUCUUCCAGAAUUUUUUAUUGAAGGUUUUCCCGAUAAGGCUCACAAUGAGGACAGUUUGCAGAGAAGUGAGAAAUGGGAUUAUGGGGGUGGGAAUGGGCGAAAGCAGUACAUUCAUUUUGGGGAAAAUGAAAGGGAGUUGGAGGGCCAGUUCUAAACCUGGAAACCCCCGAAAGCAAUGGAUGUCUCGCAUACCACAAUUAUGUCUGCGUAUCUCUCCAUUCUUUUUUUUUUUUUUUUUGUUUCGGGCCCCCUCUUUCCACUUCCCGACUUUAUCAUUUCUUUGAAAGGGAGGCAAAGGGAGAGGGUAACUCGUCUCUCUAGGCUUUCACCUUAUAAAGUGCUGAGCAGAAAGGAGCAUCUUUCUUCUCCAGAUAUCGUCCUUCCCUGCUAUGAAGAGUCCAUGGGAACCAUCUCAAAAGUUCUCCCAAGAUGCCAAUUUGAACUAAGCCCCGUUUCAAUAUUUAUCGAGCAAAUCAAUGAAGAAUUCGCAUUUCAAGCAGAGACCUAAAAAGCACAGAAGCCACUUUCUUCCGUUCGGCUCAUCUCAGAGAUCGAUUCUUUUUCUAGGAAGAGCUAAAAAGGCUCAGGCAAGUCUGGUGUCCUUUUCCCUCAACUACAGAUCCGAUCCCACCUAUGCCAGGGAGCUGUCCCUGGUGCUUCUCCCCCUCACGC